rnacentral:rRNA from 1 species
UACGUAGGGGGCAAGCGUUGUCCGGAUUUAUUGGGCGUAAAGAGCGUGUAGGCGGUUAGGUAGGUCCGUUGUGAAAACUCGAGGCUCAACCUCGAGACGCCGAUGGAAACCAUCUAACUAGAGUCCGGAAGAGGAGAAUGGAAUUCCUGGUGUAGCGGUGAAAUGCGCAGAUAUCAGGAAGAACACCCGUGGCUAAGGCGGUUCUCUGGGCAUUACCUGACGCUGAGGAGCGAAAGUGUGGGGAGCGAACAGG